rnacentral:rRNA from 1 species
UAGGGAAUCUUCGGCAAUGGGGGGAACCCUGACCGAGCAACGCCGCGUGAGUGAAGAAGGUUUUCGGAUCGUAAAGCUCUGUUGUUAAGGAAGAACGAGUGUGAGAAUGGAAAGUUCAUACUGUGACGGUACUUAACCAGAAAGGGACGACUAACUACGUGCCAGCAGCCGCGGUAAUACGUAGGUCCCGAGCGUUGUCCGGAUUUAUUGGGCGUAAAGCGAGCGCAGGCGGUUAGAUAAGUCUGAAGUUAAAGGCAGUGGCUCAACCAUUGUAGGCUUUGGAAACUGUUUAACUUGAGUGCAGAAGGGGAGAGUGGAAUUCCAUGUGUAGCGGUGAAAUGCGUAGAUAUAUGGAGGAACACCGGUGGCGAAAGCGGCUCUCUGGUCUGUAACUGACGCUGAGGCUCGAAAGCGUGGGGAGCGAACAGG